rnacentral:rRNA from 1 species
CCUACGGGAGGCAGCAGUGAGGAAUAUUGGUCAAUGGACGAGAGUCUGAACCAGCCAAGUAGCGUGAAGGAUGACUGCCCUAUGGGUUGUAAACUUCUUUUAUAUGGGAAUAAAACGUUCCACGUGUGGGAUUUUGUAUGUACCAUAUGAAUAAGGAUCGGCUAACUCCGUGCCAGCAGCCGCGGUAAUACGGAGGAUCCGAGCGUUAUCCGGAUUUAUUGGGUUUAAAGGGAGCGUAGGUGGUUUGUUAAGUUAGUUGUGAAAUGUUGGGGCUCAACCCUAAAAUUGCAGCUGACACUGUUAGUCUGGAGUACAGUAGAGGUGGGCGGAAUUCGUGGUGUAGCGGUGAAAUGCUUAGAUAUCAUGCAGAACACCGAUUGCGAAGGCAGGUUACUGGACUGUAACUGACACUGAGGCUCGAAAGCGUGGGUAGCAAACAGGAUUAGAUACCCGAGUAGUC